ACGGUAUAUCAUAUAUGAUAACAAGCAAAAACAGCUCUGCACGAGUUUCUCCAUUUAUUUGUUUUUCAUUUUUUGGGUACGUUUGAUGGGAAAAUGAACUGAACCUGAAACCCUGAUACCGUUGGACUACAAAAUCAUUGUUAACUCUCUUAACUUUACUGGACCUGGAUUAAGGAUAAGAGUGGCAACAAGUUGAUAGAACAGAUCAUUAACAGGUAACAGUAGAGAUAACCCAACUGUUUUCAGAACUUAAAUUUUAUCUUUCUUUUUGUUUGCUUUAACCCACUUGGUGGUUUAACGUAUGGUGAUUAGUUCAUUUGCUCAUGUUGUGGUGGAUAGUGGGAUUUCGCCAACACCAUUUGUUUCUUUUACAGGGAGAGAUCAGUUCAGAUCUAGUAGGACCACUAAAGCCAUACUGGGGAUUUGGAGUUUGACUACUCUGCACCGCAAAUUGGUCCCCUAGCACUAUCCGGCAUAAUUAUAGUGUUAAAAUAAGACUUGUUAUCUGAUAGUUAGGAAGUCAAAAUGACUAAUGUACAUGAUUGAUGCCCACUUGGAAAUGAAGAGAUGAGAGGGCAUGGAUAAUGGUGGUAGAGCAUAGAGGAGGAGGUUGAAGAAACAUGCCAAGUAAGUGGUAAAUGAUGUUAUCAUCACAACAUGCUUUGGUAUACAUUGGGGUGGGGUGCAAUUUAUGUCUCAUUUUUUUACUUUUUUAUUUUGCUUUGAGUGGGUUGGCUCAUUCCUCUUAUGCAUCUUCCUAGAAAGGCAAAAGAUUAAAUGGGAAGGCUAUUGACAAGCUGAAAGUUACAAAUGGAUAAUCCUACAUGUCCACUAAUGUGCACUUUGCAAUUAUGUCUUGAGCAUUUCAUUUUCGGAUCAUGAUUUUCAUUGAGAAUUUUCGAAAACAAUAGAAAAGUAGUUUUAGU